CAGUAGCGUAUAUUAAAGUUGUUGCAAUUAAAAUGCUCGUAGUUGAAGUUUGGAUAGAGCAAGCUCUGGCUUGGAAACGCUGUUAUGGUGCUUCCGUUGCUUUUGCUUGUCCACAGUGCGUUGCAAGUACGUAUGUGCUUGUGCGUGCAUCUUACUUUGAGAAACAUAGGGUGUUCCACGCAUGUUACAGCAUGAAUAUUCCAGCAUGGGAUAAUCUGGUACGACUUCCAAUCUGCCAUUUUGGUUCGUAGGUUGGAAGUAAUGAUUAAUAGGGACUGUCGGGGGCAUUGGUAUUUGACUGUCAGAGGUGAAAUUCUUAGGUUAGAUUCGUUGAGGACCAACCACUGCGAAAGCAUUUGUCAAGGAUGUCUCCAUUAA
rnacentral:rRNA from 1 species